UACGUAGGGGGCGAGCGUUGUCCGGAUUUAUUGGGCGUAAAGAGCUCGUAGGCGGUUUGGUAAGUCGGGUGUGAAAUCUCCACGCUCAACGUGGAGGGGCCACUCGAUACUGCCAUGACUCGAGUCCGGUAGAGGAGUGUGGAAUUCCCGGUGUAGCGGUGAAAUGCGCAGAUAUCGGGAGGAACACCGGUGGCGAAGGCGGGUCUCUGGGCAAUAACUGACGCUGAGGAGCGAAAGCGUGGGGAGCGAACAGG
rnacentral:rRNA from 1 species